UGGGGAAUAUUGCACAAUGGGCGCAAGCCUGAUGCAGCCAUGCCGCGUGUGUGAAGAAGGCCUUCGGGUUGUAAAGCACUUUCAGCGAGGAGGAAGGUGGUGAACUUAAUACGUUCAUCAAUUGACGUUACUCGCAGAAGAAGCACCGGCUAACUCCGUGCCAGCAGCCGCGGUAAUACGGAGGGUGCAAGCGUUAAUCGGAAUUACUGGGCGUAAAGCGCACGCAGGCGGUUUGUUAAGUCAGAUGUGAAAAUCCCCGGGCUCAACCUGGGAACUGCAUUUGAAACUGGCAAGCUAGAGUCUCGUAGAGGGGGGUAGAAUUCCAGGUGUAGCGGUGAAAUGCGUAGAGAUCUGGAGGAAUACCGGUGGCGAAGGCGGCCCCCCUGGANGAAGACUGACGCUCAGGUGCGAAAAGCGUGGGGAGCAAACAGAUUAGNUACCCUGGUAGUCACGCUGUAAACGAUGUC
rnacentral:rRNA from 1 species